rnacentral:lncRNA from 1 species
AGGUGUCCUUGCUGGUCAUGACAACCGUGUUAGCUGCUUAGGUGUGACUGAUGACGGCAUGGCUGUGGCCACUGGCUCCUGGGACAGUUUUCUCAGAAUCUGGAAUUGAGUGCUGUAUUUUCUGUUCUCCAAUGAUAUUUGGAGAAAUCCGUGCUACAGCCAUAGCUGUGAGGAAAAAACCCCUCUACCUUCUAUUUGCAGAUGAAGUUCUUCUAUUGAGGUGACUAUAUAUAUAUAAAAAGCCACUUUCAAUAAACUGUAGUUUAUUGAAACUCUUCUAACAAAAAUGGUGGUCAAAGAAACAAUCAAGACUAAGAUCCCUUGCUGCGGUUAAGCCCGUGAUAUUCACUGAGCGGUUGUGUUGACUU